AGAAUCAACGCUGGCGGCGUGCCUAACACAUGCAAGUCGAACGAGAAAGUGGAGCAAUCCAUGAGUACAGUGGCGCACGGGUGAGUAACACGUGACUAACCUACCCUCGAGUGGGGAAUAACCUCGGGAAACCGGGGCUAAUACCGCAUAACAUCCACGGAUCAAAUGCGUAAGCAGCUUGAGGAGGGGGUCGCGGCUGAUUAGCUAGUUGGCGGGUAAUGGCCCACCAAGGCAGUGAUCAGUAG
rnacentral:rRNA from 1 species